ensembl:processed_transcript
CAGACAAAACUGAAGAAAUUUACUUCCCGAGAUCAUCUUUAAUGAACAAACACAAAACUUGUCCAUGCAUCAACUUUUUUAUUACUUGUGGAGGAGGACUGGACAUGUUGACUGGAUUGAUUCAGUGGAGGAUGAAGGCCUCUGACGAUUGGCACGAGGGAGGUUUGAUUUUAUCUCAGCACCUCGAUCAACCCUCGCUUUUGGCUCUUUCAGCUGAAAAGUUCAGAUGCUAUCGCUGCCAUCUCCAUCUCUCCUUCAGCUCAUCUCUUGACCUCCAUCAGCCUAACAGCAACUCUUGUCUCCUUUCUGUCUUUUAUCUCUAAGAAAAAUGAAGUUUUUAGAUUAGCUAACGACUGGUCUUAACAUACUCCUUAUUUACAUGGGUUGUUAAUGUUUCUGUUGGAAAAGUCCUUUGUAGCGAGACCUUUGGACUCAGCAGUAGCGUGUAAGGUCUUGUCCCUGCUGCACCUGCUGGACAAUAAUGCCCACUUAGACAGGAAAAAUAAACCAUGUGACUGCGAUUUUCACUGCAUCCUGCUGACUUUUAAAAAGAAGAAAA